rnacentral:rRNA from 1 species
CUGGCUCAGAAUGAACGCUGGCGGCGUGGAUUAGGCAUGCAAGUCGCGCGAGAAAGUUUCCUUCGGGAGACGAGUAGAGCGGCGAACUGGUGAGUAACAGGUGGGCAACGUGCCCUGAAGUGUGGAAUAACCCGAGGAAACUCGGGCUAAUACCGCAUGCGGUUCUCGGAUUCAUGGAUCUGAGUAUCAAAGACGCAAGUCGCUUCAGGAUCGGCCCGCCCCCGAUUAGCUAGUUGGUGAGGUAACGGCUCACCAAGGCGACGAUCGGUAGCUGGUCUGAGAGGAUGGUCAGCCACACUGGAACUGAGAUACGGUCCAGACUCCUACGGGGGCAGCAGUCUAGAGGCUUCGGCAAUGGACGAAAGUCUGACCGAGCGACGCCGCGUGUGGGAUUGAAGGCC